rnacentral:rRNA from 1 species
CCUACGGGAGGCAGCAGUGAGGAAUAUUGGUCAAUGGGCGAAAGCCUGACGCAGCGACGCCGCGUGAGGGAUGAAGGUCUUCGGAUCGUAAACCUCUGUCAGCAGGGAAGAACGGUCACUGUGCUAAUCAGCAGUGAAUUGACGGUACCUGCAAAGGAAGCACCGGCUAACUCCGUGCCAGCAGCCGCGGUAAUACGGAGGGUGCGAGCGUUAAUCGGAAUUACUGGGCGUAAAGCGCUCGUAGGCGGUAUGUCAAGUCAAGGGUGAAAUCCCCGCGCUCAACGUGGGAACUGCCUUUGAAACUGGCAAACUGGAGUGUGUGAGAGGAUAGUGGAAUUCCAGGUGUAGGAGUGAAAUGCGUAGAUAUCUGGAGGAACAUCAGUGGCGAAGGCGACUAUCUGGCACAUAACUGACGCUGAGGAGCGAAAGCGUGGGUAGCAAACAGGAUUAGAUACCCUUGUAGUC